UUGGAUUGCAUCCUUUGCCAUUGAUCGCUUGGGAAUAUUGACUGCAUUUUAGAGAGAACCAGCAUUUGAGAUAGAGGUUUGCUACCUUAUUAAGAACCCCCAAUCCACAGUUUGUACUCCUCUCAGCAUAUAGGAGUAGAAAAAUCUGGAGGAAAUUAUCAUGACUUUUCCUAUCCUUACUGUGACCACAGACAUGGGAGGACUUUCUCCUUUGUGUACUUGUUUUUUAGGUAUAGCAUUCUGGGUGGUGUCUAGAGCUUUAUUGGCAAAGAAGGAAUUCCUGUUAAACCAUGACACUGCUCAGUAAGACUUCACUGACCCUCUGAUUAAGAAACUCACCAACUAUUCAGUACAAUAUCAUAUUGCUACAAAGUGAUCUAGAGAUAAACAACUGUCAACUUUCCAGAGUGGUGGAUGUGCCUUGGACAUGAGCUCAGUUCUCCAGAAGACUGCAGAAACGGUGUGCCAGGCAGGCACCUUGACCUUACAGAGAGAUCACUGACAACUCUGAGUUAUGUUGAAAUUCAACAAUCACAGGCAAUACUUAAAGCGGGGCUGUGCCUUUCCAGUUUUCAGGAGGGGAAGCGGCAGGGUGCUGUCAAUUAUAUAACAAGUGAUCCUGGGCACAUUUGUACAGAAAAAGGCUUUUGGUGAGAAUUUUGUGGAGGUUGAUGUCAUACCAGAUGAAGACAUGGACUUGCAUGGAACUUUUCAGAACUGGACAAAUAAUCUAAGUCUGGAAGGCAACCCUACUCUCUGAAGUUGUCUAAGGACCUGGACAGUCUCCAAGUAUCCUCGGGUGCCUCUGCCUUCCACAAGAAGAUUCAUCUCUAGGUUCAGAAAGAUGCUUCUGCUCUCUUCAUUUCCCACUUGGUGGGAAGAGGGAAGAUCAGAGCCUUUUCUGAACCUCAGUUCCCCUGAUUUCUAACCAGGCCAUGAAUGACCAUCAAGAAGAUAACAAGAAGAAAGAAAUGGUAGAGAUGGGUCUGAAAUAGCAUCAAAUUUAGGUACAUGAGAGACCAUAGGAAGAAAAGGACCAUUGUGUGGCCAUGAGGAGAAGUUCACAGUGCAGCUUCCUGGGAAUGGCUUCUGAGCUGCUCUGUGCCUACAUAAGCACAACAUGGCAACUGGGUGACAGAGGAAUGAAUGGCACAUGUCUGGGCUAGAGGGACCUUACAGAACACUUUGUCCAAACCUUUCAUUUUACAAAGAGGAAAUAGAAUCCCAGAGACUGCCAAGGAACUGGCCCAACCCCUCAGCUAGUUAGUGGCAGCUUGAACCUCCAUAUCUGUUCCCUAGCCAUAGCCCUCCAAGCUUGCACUGAGAACAAGAGGGGAGGCAAAUGUGAACUGCGACCCUCAAGAACAUAGAAACUCUCAACACACGUACCUCAAGCUGAUCAGGACUGGACUUUCUAUCCACAUUAGGUCGCUCUCAGGUCUUAACUAUGAGUCACUUGGCUUCAGACCCAUGUCUGACACAAAGGAGCACCUUGCUCUCUAUGUGAUGCUGAUUCCUGUAGAGAUCACUAGGGGAAGGUGUCCUUCAUGCAUGUAUUGGCCUCAAGGCUAUGAGGGGAAGUACUUGGGGUAACAGGAGUGUCAUGGACCACCAAGGAACCUCCUAGAAGCACUUCUUCUGGCCCAUUGUUUCAGAAGGCAUUUCCCUUCCACUCAUCAAUCCUUGUUACAUGAAACCAAUGAUAGGCUGUUCAGUGGGAAUCUGGCCAUUUCUGAGCUCUUCAUAAUAAGUAAAAAAAAAAGGAAGGGGUCUGUGAAAAUAGCUUAUACAAGAUACCUGUCUGGAAGAGGGGAAAGGGUAAAGAAAAAAAAGAAAGGCUCAUAUAAUUUCUUUCUUGUCUCUGCUCCAGAAACACUGGUUUUAGGCAUGGAACUUGUAGAUCUUGUAGAUACUACUUAUUAUUUCUCUCCCAGGUAUCUGUCCUCUACUGUUAAUUAUUGUAGAGCCUCAGUGAAUUAGAGGCCCCUGAGCUCAUUCUCUGCAGUAAACUCAUAUCCAGCCCUGAUAAUAUGUGCCUCCAUUUUCUGGGGCUUUCCCUAAGAACCCAGUCUAACCAUAUUCAUGGACAGUGGGGCAAGAGGGGAAGACUGGAUGAUUAUUAUGAUUCCUAUUUUAGCAGUGGAAUACUGUGACCAAUGGUGGUAAAAGAAGAUCUUCCUAAACCUAGAAAGUAGAAGAGUCAGGAUCUUUGAAGCCAUGUUAUUUCCUGAAUGAUUUAGUCUCUUUCCAAUGGAUGGCUUUUUAGGAGAGGGGAAUUUAAUUGCAUUCACUCUAUGUAAUAGUCUUGGGCCUUCAGUGGUGACAUUGAAAGUGAAAAUAAACACACAAAAACUGUUUA